AAARGGRCGAUUCUGCCGGACCCGACUGCUAUCAGAGUGGGACUAAGCCAUGCGAGUCAACAUAGCAAUAUGUGGCAUACGGCUCAGUAACACGUAGUCAACAUGCCCAGGGGACGUGGAUAACCUCGGGAAACUGAGGAUAAACCGCGAUAAGUCACUACUUCUGGAAUGGGUAAUGACUUAAAUCUAUAUGGCCCCUGGAUUGGACUGCGGCCGAUCAGGCUGUUGGUGAGGUAAUGGCCCACCAAACCUGUAACCGGUACGGGCUCUGAGAGGAGGAGCCCGGAGAUGGGCACUGAGACAAGGGCCCAGGCCCUAUGGGGCGCAGCAGGCGCGAAACCUCUGCAAUAGGCGAAAGCCUGACAGGGUUACUCUGAGUGAUUUCCGUUAAGGAGAUCUUUUGGCACCUCUAAAAAUGGUGCAGAAUAAGGGGUGGGCAAGUCUGGUGUCAGCCGCCGCGGUAAUACCAGCACCCCGAGUGGUCGGGACGUUUAUUGGGCCUAAAGCAUCCGUAGCCGGUUCUGCAAGUCUUCCGUUAAAUCCACCUGCUUAACAGAUGGGCCGCGGAAGAUACUAUAGAGCUAGGAGGCGGGAGAGGCAAGCGGUACUCGAUGGGUAGGGGUAAAAUCCGUUGAUCCAUUGAAGACCACCAGUGGCGAAGGCGGCUUGCCAGAACGCGCUCGACGGUGAGGGAUGAAAGCUGGGGGAGCAAACCGGAUUAGAUACCCGGGUAGUCCCAGCUGUAAACGAUGCAGACUCGGUGAUGAAUUGGCUUUAUGCCUAUUCAGUGCCGCAGGGAAGCCGUUAAGUUUGCCGCCUGGGGAGUACGGUCGCAAGACUGAAACUUAAAGGAAUUGGCGGGGGAGCACCACAAGGGGUGAAGCCUGCGGUUCAAUUGGAUUACCGCCGGA
rnacentral:rRNA from 1 species